UAGGGAAUCUUCGGCAAUGGACGAAAGUCUGACCGAGCAACGCCGCGUGAGUGAAGAAGGUUUUCGGAUCGUAAAACUCUGUUGUUAGAGAAGAACAAGGACGUUAGUAACUGAACGUCCCCUGACGGUAUCUAACCAGAAAGCCACGGCUAACUACGUGCCAGCAGCCGCGGUAAUACGUAGGUGGCAAGCGUUGUCCGGAUUUAUUGGGCGUAAAGCGAGCGCAGGCGGUUUCUUAAGUCUGAUGUGAAAGCCCCCGGCUCAACCGGGGAGGGUCAUUGGAAACUGGGAGACUUGAGUGCAGAAGAGGAGAGUGGAAUUCCAUGUGUAGCGGUGAAAUGCGUAGAUAUAUGGAGGAACACCAGUGGCGAAGGCGGCUCUCUGGUCUGUAACUGACGAUGAGGCUCGAAAGCGUGGGGAGCAAACAGG
rnacentral:rRNA from 2 species